CAGUCGCCGCGGUAAUACGUAGGUGGCAAGCGUUGUCCGGAAUUAUUGGGCGUAAAGGGCUCGCAGGCGGUUUCUUAAGUCUGAUGUGAAAGCCCCCGGCUCAACCGGGGAGGGUCAUUGGAAACUGGGAAACUUGAGUGCAGAAGAGGAGAGUGGAAUUCCACGUGUAGCGGUGAAGUGCGUAGAGAUGUGGAGGAACACCAGUGGCGAAGGCGACUCUCUGGUCUGUAACUGACGCUGAGGAGCGAAAGCGUGGGGAGCGAACAGGAUUAGAUACCCCCGUAGUCCCUGUCUCUUAUAC
rnacentral:rRNA from 1 species